UACGUAGGUGGCAAGCGUUGUCCGGAUUUAUUGGGUUUAAAGGGUGCGUAGGCGGCCCUUUAAGUCAGUGCUGAAAUACUCUAGCUUAACUAGAGGGGUGGCAUUGAUACUGGAGGACUUGAAUGAAGUCGAGGUAGGCGGAAUUGACGGUGUAGCGGUGAAAUGCUUAGAUAUCGUCAAGAACACCGAUAGUGAAGACAGCUUACUAGGCUUAGAUUGACGCUGAGGCACGAAAGUGUGGGGAUCAAACAGG
rnacentral:rRNA from 1 species